UGACUGGAUUCCAGUGUAAACACAUCACAAGG
rnacentral:piRNA from 1 species